rnacentral:rRNA from 1 species
UGACCGGCGGAUGUUACACAUGCAAGUCGAACCGGCAGCACGGGACUUCGGUCUGGUGGCGAGUGGCGAACGGGUGAGUAAUACAUCGGAACGUGCCCAGUCGUGGGGGAUAACGUAGCGAAAGCUACGCUAAUACCGCAUACGAUCUAAGGAUGAAAGCGGGGGAUCGCAAGACCUCGCGCGAUUGGAGCGGCCGAUGGCAGAUUAGUAGUUGGUAGGGUAAAGGCCUACCAAGCCGACGAUCUGUAGCUGGUCUGAGAGGACGACCAGCCACACUGGGACUGAGACACGGCCCAGACUCCUACGGGAAGCAGCAGUGGGGAAUUUUGGACAAUGGGCGAAAGCCUGAUCCAGCCAUUCCGCGUGCAGGAUGAAGGCCCUCGGGUUGUAAACUGCUUUUGUACGGAACGAAAAGGUCCUGGUUAAUACCUGGGGCUCAUGACGGUACCGUAAGAAUAAGCACCGGCUAACUACGUGCCAGCAGCCGCGGUAAUACGUAGGGUGCAAGCGUUAAUCGGAAUUACUGGGCGUAAAGCGUGCGCAGGCGGUGAUGUAAGACAGAGGU